rnacentral:rRNA from 1 species
GGCUAAUGCUCGAGCGCAACAGAUAAGGGAGCUUGCUCCUUUGGACGUUAGCGGCGGACGGGUGAGUAACACGUGGGUAACCUACCUAUAAAACGGGAAUAACUCCGGGAAACCGGGGCUAAUGCCGGAUAACAUUUAAAACCGCAGGGUUCUAAAGUGAAAGAUGGUUUUGCUAUCACUUAUAGAUGGACCCGCGCCGUAUUAGCUAGUUGGUAAGGUAAUGGCUUACCAAGGCAACGAUACGUACCCAACCUGAGAGGGUGAUCGGCCACACUGAAACUGAGACACGGUCCAAACUCCUACGGGAGGCAGCAGUAGGGAAUCUUCCGCAAUGGGCGAAAGCCUGACGGAGCAACGCCGCGUGAGUGAUGAAGGGUUUCGGCUCGUAAAACUCUGUUAUUAGGGAAAAACAAACGUGUAAGUAACUGUGCACGUCUUGACGGUACCUAAUCAAAAAGCCACGGCUAACUACGUGCCAGCACCCGCGGUAAUACGUAGGUGGCAAGCGUUAUCCGGAAUUAUUGGGCGUAAAGCGCGCGUAGGCGGUUUCUUAAGUCUGAUGUGAAAGCCCACGGCUCAACCGUGGAGGGUCAUUGGAAACUGGGAAACUUGAGUGCAAAAAAGGAAAGUGGAAUUCCAUGUGUAGCGGUGAAAUGCCCAAAGAUAUGGAGGAACACCAGUGGCGAAGGCGACUUUCUGGUCUGUAACUGACGCUGAUGUGCGAAAGCGUGGGGAUCAAACAGGAUUAAAUACCCUGGUAGUCCACGCCGUAAACGAUGAGUGCUAAGUGUUAGGGGGUUUCCGCCCCUUAGUGCUGCAGCUAACGCAUUAAGCACUCCGCCUGGGGAGUACGACCGCAGGGUUGAAACUCAAAGGAAUUGACGGGGACCCGCACAAGCGGUGGAGCAUGUGUUUUAAUUCGAAGCAACGCGAAAACCUUACCAAAUCUUGACAUCUUUGACCACUCUAGAGAUAAAUUUUCCCCUUCGGGGGACAAGUGA